GGGGCAACCUGUACCUCAGCCUUUCUCCCUAAGGCUUGUGAUUGUUGGCGCGGCAGUGAGGUGUGGUCUUCUGUAAGGAAAAAGUCAGAGCCCGGCCUCGGGGGAGAGCUCUGCAGACUCGGACCAGCACCACUGGCUCUGAAUUUUCUAGAGUUUGAACCCUUCAGAUAGAAGAAGCCCAAGGAAGACUGAUUGGUUCUUACAUUUCUGAUAACAUGGCCCAAUUUCAGGAAUCAGUGACAUUCAGGGAUGUGGCCAUAGCCUUCGCUCAGCAGGAGUGGGAGAGUCUGGAUUCUGCUCAGAGGGUCUUGGACAGAGAUGUGAUGUUGGAGAACUAUAGGAACUUGGUCUCCCUGGGUCAUUCCUGUUCUAAACCACAUGUGAUUACCUUAUUGGAACAAUGGAAAGAGCCCUGGAUGAUAGUGAAGAAAGAUCAAGGAAGACAAUACACAGUUUCAACGUAUUCCUGUUAAUGAAAAUAGAAAUAUCAACCAAUGUUCAUUUUAACAAUAGGCAAAAGAUAUGAAUGGACAUUUCACCAAAGAAGAUAUAUGGGUUGCAAAUAAACACAUAAAAAAUGCUCAUAAUUAUGAGUCAUUACAGAAAUUCAAGGUAAAACCACAAUGAAAUUCUACUACAACAUGCCUAUUAGAAUAGCAAACAUUAAAAACACUGAUUAUAGCAGUUGCUGGUGAACAUGUGGAAGAGCUGGAACUCUUAUUCAGUGCUGUGUGAAACACAUAUGGUAUAGCCGCUUUAGAACACAAUUUGGCAGUCUGCAAAAUUUUCAAGUAUUCACCUGCCCUGUGACAAAGGCAUUGCACUCCUACAUAUUAACACAAGAGAAAUAAAAGCGUAGGCCCAUAUGAAGACGUGUACAUUCAUGGUCAUAGUAGCUUAAUUUGUAAUAGCCAAAAGCCUGUAUGUCAUUUAACAGAAGAAAGUGUUUAAAAAUUGCCGUGCAUUUGAUUAAGAAAUCUGGGAGGAUGGUAGAGCAGGAAGAACCAGGAACUUGUCUCCCCAACUAGACAACAAUUGUAUUGACAAAAUGUAUCUCAUAUACCUAUUUUGGAACUCUGGGGUCUGUUCAAAGGCUUACAACUUCCAGAGGAAAGCUUAAGACAGUAAAUUGCAGUUAAUUUUGGUCAAUUUCAGCCCUUAGCACUGUAACAGCUACCCAUCCCCCACACACUUGCCCUGUGGCUGGCAGUUCUGCAUGUGUCCCUGGAGCAGCUUGCACGCAGUUGGUGGGAACCUGGGUGAAACCCUGCUCUUUAAAUAUUGAGGACUUGUGCUGUGAUCUAUUGCUGCUUCUGACUGCAGAGGUGAAGACACAGAAGUAAGCAACCAUUUGUGUAAAUGUCAUCGCAUUGUUGCAAGCCCCUCCCUCUCCAGUUGAAGCGACUUCCAGGGGAUUUGCACCAGCACAUAUUCCCCCCUUCAUUUUUCUCUUUUCUCCUUUUGGAAGCCAGAUUUUUAGGGCUAAGACGUUUCAAAGCAAUCACAUAUACAGGGGAAUUUGGAAAGUCAUGACACAUGUAAAGGCACAAGCUCAAAAAAGACCUGAGAAGACCUUAAGUUUACACCUCAGGUUGAUCACCAGCAGAGACAGCCUACAGCAAUUAAAAAAAAUUUUUUAAUAAAAAUGGCAAAACUUGCAGGGCAGAAAUUGAGACACAGAUGUAGAGAACAAACGUAUGGACACCAAGGGGGUAAAGCGGCGGGGGGGUGGGUGUGGUGGUGUGAUGAAUUGGGCGAUUGGGAUUGACAUGUAUACACUGAUGUGUAUAAAAUUGAUGACUAAUAAGAACCUGCUGUAUAAAAAAAUAAAUUUAAAAAAAGGCAAACCUUGGGGAAGGUGAAGAAUCUGAUUUCCAAAGUUACCACAUUAUUAGAUUCAAACGUCUAGUGUUCAACAAAAAAUUACAAGCCAUACAAAGAAACAGGAAAGCACGGCCCAAUCAAGGGGGAAAAAAAGAAAUCACCAGAAACUGUCUCUUAAAAAGACCUGAUGGCAGAUCUACUAGACAGAGACUUUAAAACAACUGUCUUGUAGAUAAUCAAAGAACUAAAGACAUGGAGAAAGUAAAGAAAAUGAUGUAUGAACAAAAUGGAAAUAUCACAAAAGAAAUAGAAAGCAUAAAAAGAAACCAAAAAGAAAUUCUGGAGCUAAAAUUACCAUAAAUGGGGGAAAAAAAGAAAAAAAACCUGCCAGAGUGAUUCAAAAGAUUUGAUAAGACAGAAGAAUCAGUGAACUUCAAGACAGGAAAAUUGAAAAAGAAAAAAAAAAAGACUGAAGAAAAGUGAACAGAAUGUAAGGUACCUCUGGAACACCUUCAAAAGGAACAACAUGCACGUUGUGGGAGUCCCAGAAGAAGAAGAAAGGGGAAGAGAGAUAGCUUGAAGAAUUGAUGACUGAAAAUUUCCCAAAUUUGAUGAAAGAUAUGAAUAUAAACAUCCCAGAGGCUCAAUGAACUCCAAGAAUGAACUCAGAGACCCAAAUCAAAGCACAUCACAAUCAAACUGUCAAAACACAGAGACAAAGAAUCUUUAAAGAAAUGAGAGAGAAGUGACUUGUCACAUUCAAAAGAUACUCGAUAAAAUUACCCACAGAUUUUUCACCAGAAGCCUUGGAAGCCAGAAGGCAAUGGGUAUGUUAUGUUCAAAGUGCUGAAGGAAAAAAUGUUAAACAAGAAUCCUAUAUCUGGCAAAAUUGUCUUUCAAAUGGGAGGGAAGAAUUAAGAAAUUCCCAGAUAAACAAAAGCUAAGGGAGUUUGUUACCACCAGACCUGCCCAGCAAGAAAUGCUGAAAGGAGUCCUUCACAUUGAAAUAAAGGACAUUAGACUAACUCAAAGCUAUAUGAAGGGAUAAAGAUCUCUGGUAAAGGUACAUACACUGGGCAUUUUUUAAAACUACUGUUAUUGUAACUUUGAUUUAUAACUCCAUUUUUAAAUUUCUACAUUAUUUGAGAAACUAAUGCAUUAAAAAACAAUUAUUCUGUGUUUCUGGAUAUACAGUGUAUAAAGAUGUAAUUUUGUGACAUCAGUAACUGAAAGGGUUGGAGAUGGAACUGUAUAGGAGAAGAGUUUUUGUAUGUUAUUGAAGUUAGGCUGGUAUAAAUUCAAAUUAUAGUGUUAUAAUUUUAGGAUGGUAACCACAUGAAACUACAAAGAAGAUAGCUAUCGAAUAUACACAAAAGGAAAUGGGAAGGGAAUUAAAAUAUUUCACGUUAAAAAAUCAAAAACAAAAGACAGUAAUACAGGAAAUGGGGGACAAAAAAAGCUAUAAUAUAGAAAAUGAAUAGCAAAUGACAGAAGUAAAUCCUUCCUUAUCAGUAAUUACUUUAAAUGUAAAUGGAUUAAACUCUCCAAUCAAAGACAGAGAUUGACAGAGUGGAUUUUAAAAAAAUGACCCAACUAGGGCUUUCCUGGUGGUGCAGUGGUUAAGAAUCCGCCUGCCAAUGCAGGGGACAUGGGUUCAAGCCCUGGUCCGGGAAGAUCCCACAUGAGGUGGAGCAACUAAGCCCGUACACCACAACUACAGAGCCUUUGCUCUAGAGCCCGUGAGCCACAACUACUGAGCCUGUGAGCCACAACUACUGAAGCACACGUGCCUAGAGCCCAUGCUUGGCAAUGAGAAGCCACUGCAAUGAGAAGCCCGUGCACCACAACGAAGAGUAGCCCCCGCUCAAUGCAACUAGAGAAACCCUGCGCGCAGCAACAAAGACCCAACGCAGCCAAAAAUAAAUAAAUAAAUAAAUAAAAAGAUAAAAAUAAAAAUGACCCAACUAUAUGCUGACUGCAGGGACUAACUUUAGAUCCAAAGACACAAGUAGGUUGGGAGUGAAAGGAUGGAAAAACAUAUUCCAUGCAAAUAACUAAAGAGAGUGAGGUUGGCUAUACUAAUAGCAGACAAGGUAGACUUUAUUUAAAAAAAAAAAAGUUACAAGAGCCAAAGGACAUUUCAUAUAGCAAUAAAAGGUUCUACACAGCAAGAAGAUAUAACAAUUAUAAACAUUUAUGCAUGUAAUACCAGACCAAGAAAUUAUAUAAAGCAAAAACUGACAGAAUUAAGAGAGUAAAUAGACAGUUCUACAGUAAUAUUUGGAGACUUUAAUACUCUCCUCUAAAUAAUGGAUUGAACAACCAGACAAAAAAAAUCAAUAAGGAAACAGAAGACUUGACAACACAAUAAAUCAAUUAGAUUUAACAGAAAUGUACGUAAUACUGUACUCGACAACAGCAGAAAACACAUUCUUCUCAAGUGAGCAUGGGACAUCUCCAUAAUAGACCAUGUUUUGCCACAAAUUAAGGCUUAAUUGAUUUUAAAAGAUAGAUAUUACACAAAGUAUCUUCUCCAACCUCAACCAGAUGAAGAUAGAAAUUGAUAAUAAAAGGCAAACUGAAAAAUUCACAAAUUUGUGGAAAUUAAACAACAUACCCUAAACAGUCAAUGGAACAAAGAAGAAAUCACAGAGAGUAUUAGAAAAUAAUUAGAGAUGAAAGAAAACAAAACACACAGCACACCUAGAAAAACAAUAGAGAAAAUUCAACGAGUCCAGAAGAUCGUUCUUAAAAAAAGAUUAGCAAAAUUGACAAACCUUUAGCUAGAAUGACUAAAGAAGACAUAAAUUGCUUAAAAAAAAUAGAAGUGGAAACAUUACAACUGAUUCUACAGAAAUAAAAAGGAUUACAAGAGUACUAUGAACAAGUGUAUGCAAGAAAAGUGGAUAACCUAGAUGAAAUAGACAAAUUCCUGGAAACACAAAAUCUAUCAGGACAGAGCCAUGAAGAAAGAGAAUAUCUGAAUAAAACUGUAACUACUAAGCAAAAUGAAUGAGGGAAUUCAAUGAAUUCAUUUAUUUGAAUGAGUGAUCAAAAACCUCCCAACAACAAAGCUAUGGACCUGAAGCCUUUAUUGGUGAAUUUUACCAAACAUUUAAGGAAGAAUUAACAUUAAUCCUUGUCAAAAAUUUUCCAAAAACUUGAAGGAUAACACAUUAAUUCAUUUGCCUUGAUAUCAAAGCCAGAAAAAUAUACUAUAAGAAAAGUAUAGACCUAUAUCCCUUAUGAAUAGUGAUGCAAAUAUCCUUAGCAAAAUACUAGCAGACAGAAUUCAGCAGCAUACUAAAAGGACUAAACACUGUGUUCAAGUGGGAUUUAUUUAUUCCUGGAAUGCAAGGAUCAUUCAACAUAUGAAAAUCAUCUAACACCACAUUAACAGGAUAAAGGGAGAAAACAACUUGAUCGUCUCAAUUGCUGCAGAAAAAGCAUUUGACAAAAUUCAACACUUUCAAAAUAAAAACACUCAACAAAUUAGGAAUAGAAGGAAACUACCUCAACAUAAUAAAAGCCAUGUAUAAAAACCCCACAGCUAAUAUCAUAUUCAGUGGUGAAGAACUAACAGCUUUUCAAUCAGGAAUAAGGAAAGAAUGCCCACUCUUGCCAUUUCUAUUCAACAUAAUACUGGAAGUUCUAGCCAGAGCAAUUAGGCAAGAAAAAGAAAUAAAAGGCAUCCAAAUUGGAGAAGAAUAAGUAAAGUUAUCUUUGUUCACAGAUGAAAUAAUCUUAAAUCUAGAAAACCCUCAAGACUCCACAAAAUUACUAUUAGAACUAAUAAAUUAACUCAACAAAGUAGGAUACAAAACCAACACAGAAAAAUCAGUUGCAUUUCUAUAUACGAACAAUGAACAAUCUGAGUAGAAAAUGAUGAAAACAGUUCCUUUUACAACAGCAUCAAUAAGAAUAAAACACUUAGGAAGUAACUUAAACAAGGAGGUAAAAACUUUAUUUUAAAACCAUAAAACAUUACUGAAAAAAAUUAAAGAUGACAUAAAUAAAUAGAAACAUAUCCCACAUUCAUGGAUUAGAUGACUGAGUGUUAAGAUGUCGAUUCUACCCAAAGCAAUCUAAAGAUUUCAUGGAAUCCCUACCAAAAUCCCAGUAAUUUUUUUUUUUUGCAGAAACAAAAAUCUAUGCUAAAAUUCAUAUGGAUUCUCAAAGGACCCUGAAUAGCUAAAACAAUCUUGAUAAAGAAGAUCAAUAUUGCCAGGACUCACAUUUUCCAAUUUCAAAACUUACUACAAAGCCAUGUUAAUGUAAAUAGUGAGGUAUUGACAUAAAGAAAAAAGCAUAGACCAAUGGAAUAGAAUAGAGUCCAGAAAUAAACCCUCCCAUAUAUUGUCAAAUAAUUUUUGACAAAAUCAAUCAAUGGGAAAACUGAAUAUCCACCUGCAAAAGAAUGAAGCUGGACCCUUACCUGACACCUUACACAAAAAUUAACUCAAAAUAGAUCAAAGACCUGAAUGUAAGACGCAAAACUAUAGAACUCUUAGAAGAAAACAUUGGAAAAUCUUCAUAACAUUGGAUUUGGCAAUGAUUUUCUGGAUAUGAUAUCAAAGGCACAGGCAACAAAAAAGAAAAAAAAAAUUGGACCUCAUGAAAAUUUCAAACUUUUGUGUGUCAAAGGACACUAUCAACAUAGUAAAAAGACAACCCACAGAAUGGGAGAAAUUAUCUGCAAAUCACAAA